UACUACUUCACGGAGUUACUUUUUUAGUAUCGUUUUGAUAUUAAGCAAUGUUCCGGCGGAAAACGACAGAUGACACCGCGGCGGUCCAACAAGACCGAACUCACGGUAACAAAGCUUUUAUGAAUAGCACGUGCAGCGAGGCGAGUUGCUUUGUUUGUUUCUUACAGAAAGCGGUCUGUCGUUUUCAUAAUGCCAAAACAAGUGUAGGGUGAGAUUUCGUAUUGUAAUUUUUUUAUUACAUGUGAUGUUCUAAACUCUUAAAAAUACUCGCAUCUUUUUUUUUUUUUUUCAGAUCUGAAAAGUGACCAAGCCUUACCAGCCAGGCCUCAGACCACGGUGCCGAGGCGCUCUUACGGAGUCCACCAGGACGAACAGACAUUCAUACAGCAAGGCAGAGUGUGGAAAGCAGUAGAGGUCGACAACAUGGCGGACGGAGACACAUAAACAGGACGAAGCCGACUCCACAGAAUAAGAGUCACAUUUGUGUCACUCUUCUGGAAAGUUCUGAUGUCUGUGAUGAGGACAGAGAUGCAGCUGUGUCUGCAUCAAGGACCUACUGCCAGUCAUCCAGUUGUAGCUAAAGAAAGAAGCAGCUGAUGGAGGAAUGCAGAGAGUACUGGCAGCAGAGGAGGUGGCAUUAUGGGAGGAUGGCGGCUAUGAGGGGGUGUCAGGAUGGACCCCAAGUUCCUCCAACCAGGAGCUCAGUGACAUCUGGACUACAAGAUAGGAAGAGACGUCAGGUUUACACUACAGGAGAAACGUCAGGUCUACGCUACAGGAGAGACGUCGGGCCUGUCCUGAACGCAACAUAAUGUUGGAUCAUAUUUGGACAAGAAGAAACACGGCCAGAUGGUCCAGAAAUGGAAAGCAUUUAGGUCUUAUUUUGUGUGCAAACAG